rnacentral:rRNA from 1 species
UGGGGAAUAUUGCGCAAUGGGGGAAACCCUGACGCAGCAACGCCGCGUGAAGGAUGAAGGUCUUCGGAUUGUAAACUUUUGUCUUAUGGGACGAACAAGGACGGUACCAUAGGAGGAAGCCACGGCUAACUACGUGCCAGCAGCCGCGGUAAUACGUAGGUGGCAAGCGUUGUCCGGAUUUACUGGGUGUAAAGGGCGUGUAGGCGGGUAAGCAAGUCAGAUGUGAAAUACCGAGGCUUAACUUCGGGGCUGCAUUUGAAACUACUUAUCUUGAGUAUCGGAGAGGAAAGCGGAAUUCCCAGUGUAGCGGUGAAAUGCGUAGAUAUUGGGAGGAACACCGGUGGCGAAGGCGGCUUUCUGGACGACAACUGACGCUGAGGCGCGAAAGCGUGGGUAGCAAACAGG